GCCGCUGUAGCAUAGCUGGUUAAUGCGGGUGGUUUGUAACCACCAGAUCGGGAGUUCGAAUCUCCCCAGCGGCU
rnacentral:tRNA from 1 species